UUCAUCUUGUUCCACUGCGCGUCACUCUUGUUUGUGGGCUUAACUCCAUCGUUCUCAAGUGGCUCGUAUAAAUCCUUGCAGUAAAGCAAAUCCUCCAUUCUUGGCUUCCAAAUUGCAUAAUUUGUAGCCUUGAGAUUAAUCAUGCAACCUGCUGUCCAAUCCUCCAUUUAAUUCGCACAAGAAAACCACAAAAAUAACCAAGCUUUGAUACCACUGUUGGGAAAAGUACGCCAAAAAUAAUCUAUAUCCCAGGAAUUACUUUUCCGUCUUUGUGCAAUUAAAUAUGAAAUCAACAAAACCAAUUAUGAGAACAAAAAUAACAAAUAACCAUCCACAAG
rnacentral:lncRNA from 1 species